GGCAAGAUGGCCGAGCGGUCUAAGGCGCUGUGUUCAGGUUCUAUACGAACUAGUAACGAUUCGCAGUCUCGAAAGGGGCCUGGGUUCGAAUCCCAGUCUUGUCA
rfam:Fusarium poae strain 2516 chromosome FPOA_4 Chr4, whole genome shotgun sequence.